UACGGGGGGAGCAAGCGUUGUUCGGAAUCACUGGGCGUAAAGCGCACGUAGGCGGAUUGUUAAGUCGGGGGUGAAAUCCUGGAGCUCAACUCCAGAACUGCCUUCGAUACUGGCGAUCUUGAGUCCGGGAGAGGUGAGUGGAACUCCGAGUGUAGAGGUGAAAUUCGUAGAUAUUCGGAAGAACACCAGUGGCGAAGGCGGCUCACUGGCCCGGUACUGACGCUGAGGUGCGAAAGCGUGGGGAGCAAACAGG
rnacentral:rRNA from 1 species